AACGAACGCUGGCGGCAUGCCUAACACAUGCAAGUCGAACGAGACCUUCGGGUCUAGUGGCGCACGGGUGCGUAACGCGUGGGAACCUGCCCUUAGGUUCGGAAUAACUCCCCGAAAGGGGUGCUAAUACCGGUUAAUGUCUUCGGACCAAAGAUUUCUCGCCUUUGGAUGGGCCCGCGUUGGAUUAGCUAGUUGGUAGGGUAAAAGCCUACCAAGGCGACGAUCCAUAGCUGGUCUGAGAGGAUGAUCAGCCACACUGGGACUGAGACACGGCCCAGACUCCUACGGGAGGCAGCAGUGGGGAAUAUUGGACGAUGGGCGAAAGCCUGAUCCAGCAAUGCCGCGUGAGUGAUGAAGGCCUUAGGGUUGUAAAGCUCUUUUACCCGGGAUGAUAAUGACAGUACCGGGAGAAUAAGCUCCGGCUAACUCCGUG
rnacentral:rRNA from 1 species